rnacentral:rRNA from 1 species
UACGAAGGGGGCUAGCGUUGCUCGGAAUCACUGGGCGUAAAGCGCACGUAGGCGGCUUUCUAAGUCAGGGGUGAAAUCCUGGAGCUCAACUCCAGAACUGCCUUUGAUACUGGAGAGCUUGAGUCCGGAAGAGGUGAGUGGAACUCCGAGUGUAGAGGUGAAAUUCGUAGAUAUUCGGAAGAACACCAGUGGCGAAGGCGGCUCUCUGGGACGGUACUGACGCUGAGACGCGAAAGCGUCGGGAGCGAACAGG